GCUAAAAGUGCCGCGGCUAUAGCCCCGGACGCCAUAGCCCCGGACGCCCAGGGCUAACGACGCCACUGCUGGCGGCUAUGGAUAUACGAUCAUUUUUCACAAAGAAAAAGGACAAGGUGUCUACUGUAGCAGUAGAGACACUAGCAGAAAGAAGUAAGGAUGUGAGACUGCCACUGUCUCAUCUGAAGUUACAAGCUCAGAUGGCCCGGAAUGCCCUGACCAACAGGGGACGUUUCUGGGACUUCUGUGCAGGUUCUGUUGGCAGGUCUUCCUCAGGUUUGGGACAGGAUGGGAUGCCGUGGUCAUGAUCUGUGGGGGGAACCUUGCACAAUUAGAACUGAACAGGUAAAUUACAUUCCCCCACCAUAGGCUACAAAAAAAAAAAGAAACAGACAAAUGGCAGUGCAUCAAAAUGACGAGAAUCAAGGAUUUUGAGGCACUACAAUGUUGCCUGACAGCUUGUCAAACUCAGUAGCCAUGAUCAUAGAAAGAAAAAGUAAAACAUCAAUGAAAACAAUAAUAAUGAUAAUUACAGGCUACUCAAGACACCAAAAGUUCCUUUACAUACAGAAGGCAGCUACUUCAGAUAAGGUAGGACCUCUGGUUCAACUCUAUUCUUGAACACCUGUUGCAGGAUA
ensembl:lncRNA